GGAAGCGUGCCCGAAAAACAAGGACCCCUUUGAUGUGGGGGCACAUAGGGGAUCAUACCCCUCACUUCCU
rnacentral:tRNA from 1 species